rnacentral:rRNA from 1 species
GCGGGAGGGAUAAGCGCUGAAAGCAUCUAAGCGCGAAGCCCGCCUCAAGAUGAGAUUUCCCAAUUCGUAAGACCCCUGGAAGAACACCAGGUUGAUAGGCUCGGGGUGGAAGCGCGGCAACGCGUGCAGCUGACGAGUACUAAUCGGUCGAGGGCUUAUCCUAA